rnacentral:tRNA from 1 species
UCCCUGGUGGCUCAGAUGGUAAAGAAUCCGCCUGCAAUGCGGGAGACCUGGGUUUGAUCCCUGGGUGGGGAA